AUAUAUGGUUGAUGAAUUUUUAGUUGACUGGUUAUAAGAAGAAGAUAGGAUUGGAAUCAUACACAAUACUCUGGUCUUUGGCAUUCGUGGAAAUAUUUGGUCAUUAGUUUAGUUCGAUGAUUAGUAAUUUAGCCUCAUAAACUGAGUGAGAUGUAGACCAGAUUUCGCUGUCUUUUCACAAACUAUCUUCCCAGAAUGUGGAAAAAGUACGGAAUGCUGUUAGGGAUACUAAUGGUGUUGUUUUUCUUUGCAAGUGUAUCCUGAUUAAUUGAUUCUUUGCUUCUAUGUCAUAGUGUGUUCUAAUGUGUAUGUUAAGCAUGGUGAGUGAUGGUGUCUUUAUGGCUGAAUGAUAAUAAAAAUCUCAUUGGUUGAUGAUCUAUAUUUUGAUUCCGUCAUUGAAUCCUUAGUGUGUUGAGAAAUGUUAUCUUUGUAGUGAUUUGCCAGAGAGAUAAGGUUAAAUGACCAAGUUCUUAGAAGUAGCUGAGACAUCCAAUUUGGAAACGGAAAAUAUUGCUGCUGGAGUACUGUACCUUUUUCUCUCCUUCCCGAAAAUGGUUCUUGUUUCUUGCUAGGAAAAAAAAUCAGCAACGACCAUUGCUUUGCACGUGUGUCUGGCCUCUUUUUCUAUUUUGAAGGGCUUGCUCUGGGCUGGGAUGACUGAAAAUGGAUUGGUCUAUGAAUGAGAAAAGAUAGAUUAUGUCUCAGGUUCGAUUCUUUCUUAAAGAUCAAUCAGCUGAUUGACCUAGCUUACCUGCAACAAAAUUCAAGUACAAGUCUAGCCUUUAAUAUGGGGAUGAGAAUGGUUUUAGUUGUUGACAAGGAGGCUGCAAUCAGAAUACUAAGGGUUGGAGAGGGACAAAUUCAAUGCAUUGCAUCGGUGAGGUAGUGAGUGGUGAGAGAGUGAGCUACCAAUAAUAUGUGGAUGAUAUGCUAUAGAACUACAGCAGGAAGAGUUUUUUUACUUUUCCCAGGCAGAUGGUUCACAAGUUUAGAUUUUCAUACAAUUGCCUUGAAUUUUUUUGGCUCAAUUGUAAGCAUUGUAUUAGUUAGUGCUUGAGUUAUGAACACCACCGCUUUUGUAA